rnacentral:rRNA from 1 species
GAUGAACGCUAGCGGCAGGCUUAACACAUGCAAGUCGAGGGGUAGAAGUCUUCGGACUUUGAGACCGGCGCACGGGUGCGUAACGCGUAUGCAAUCUACCUUGUACAAAGGGAUAGCCCAGAGAAAUUUGGAUUAAUACCUUAUAGUAUAUAGAUGUGGCAUCACAAUUAUAUUAAAGAUUUAUCGGUACAAGAUGAGCAUGCGUCCCAUUAGCUAGUUGGUAUGGUAACGGCAUACCAAGGCAAUGAUGGGUAGGGGUCCUGAGAGGGAGAUCCCCCACACUGGUACUGAGACACGGACCAGACUCCUACAGGAGGCAGCAGUGAGGAAUAUUGGUCAAUGGGCGCAAGCCUGAACCAGCCAUGCCGCGUGCAGGAUGAAGCAUCUAUGGUGUGUAAACUGCUUUUGUACGGGAAGAAACACCUCUUCGUGAAGAGGCUUGACGGUACCGUAAGAAUAAGGAUCGGCUAACUCCGUGCCAGCAGCCGCCGUAA